rnacentral:rRNA from 1 species
UUGACCUCAAAUCAGGUAGGACUACCCGCUGAACUUAAGCAUAUCAAUAAGCGGAGGAAAAGAAACUAACAAGGAUUCCCCUAGUAACUGCGAGUGAAGCGGGAAAAGCUCAAAUUUAAAAUCUGGUAGUCUUUGGCUGCCCGAGUUGUAAUCUAGAGAAGCGUUAUCCGCGCUGGACCGUGUAUAAGUCUCCUGGAAUGGAGCGUCAUAGAGGGUGAGAAUCCCGUCUUUAACACGGACUCCCAGGGCUUUGUGAUGCGCUCUCAAAGAGUCGAGUUGUUUGGGAAUGCAGCUCUAAAUGGGUGGUAAAUUCCAUCUAAAGCUAAAUAUUGGCGAGAGACCGAUAGCGAACAAGUACCGUGAGGGAAAGAUGAAAAGAACUUUGGAAACAGAGUUAAACAGUACGUGAAAUUGUUGAAAGGGAAACGCUUGAAGUCAGUCGCGUUGAUCAGGGAUCAACCUUGCUUUUGCUUGGUGUACUUCCUGGUUAACGGGUCAGCAUCAAUUUUGACCAGUGGAAAAAGGUCAGGGGAAUGUGGCAUCUUCGGAUGUGUUAUAGCCUCUGGUCAUAUACAUUGGUUGGGAUUGAGGAACUCAGCA